rnacentral:rRNA from 1 species
CGCCUGGGGAGUACGGUCGCAAGAUUAAAACUCCAAAGGAAUUGACGGGGGCCCGCACAAGCGGUGGAGCAUGUGGUUCAAUUCGAAGCAACGCGCAGAACCUUACCAGCCCUUGACAUCCCGGUCGCGGAGAGCAGAGACGCACUCCUUCAGUUCGGCUGGACCGGAGACAGGUGCUGCAUGGCUGUCGCCAGCUCGUGUCGUGAGAUGUUGGGUUAAGUCCCGCAACGAGCGCAACCCUCGCCCUUAGUUGCCAUCAUUCAGUUGGGCACUCUAAGGGGACUGCCGGUGAUAAGCCGGAGGAAGGUGGGGAUGGCGUACAAGUCCUCAUGGCCCUUACGGGCUGGGCUA